GGAUGAGAAUCAGCACGUGCAGAUCAGCAGCCAUUGAGCAGGGGUGCCGGCUCACUGGUCAGAACAGGAUGAGGACUUCAGAGGUCCAGAUAGAACCUUCAAACAGAACCACGUACUGCUCCUUUGGAUCGAGAAGAGUGAAUUGACAUGAUUUGGGCACCUUAUAAAGAUGCUACCUCAUCUGUACCCAAGGGAACUGUUGCUGGCAAACCCCACUGGGCAGAGUGACAUGUUCCUAGUUCAUAAUGCUUGUAGAUUCCUAGAACAAGCUACAGGCUGGCUGAGAAAAACUCUUCGCGUUUGCCCAAACC